UUCGACUUUUUUUUCCCAGAUCUCGGCGUUCUUCUCUCACCUCUGGGCUCUGCAUUUCUUCUCCUCCAUUCAGAUUUUCUCCUCUCACCUCUCGGCUCUGCAUUUCUUCUCCUCCAUUCCGUUUUUCUCCUCUCACCUCUUGGCUCUGCAUUUCUUCUCCUCCAUUCCGUUUUUCUCCUCUCAUACUAUAACUCUCCCACCGCUCCUGUCUCCCUUCAACUAUCUCUUCUGCCUCUCUCUCUCUCUCUCUCACACACACACACCAGUCACCACCGCUGCUGAGUUCAAAACGGCAACUAGUCGCCAUCGCAGUGAUGCCUUUCAAGCCCUAACAUAACCCGCCGAAGAGCCAAUCUUUCCCUUUCAGCACCGCCAAACAAAGGACUUCCUUGAGUCGUCUACGGGUAUUCUUCCGUAAAGGCACCAAGGCCUCCUGCAGGUUGUAUUCCACUCAAACAUUUGAGCUUAGUAACUUACAGCAGAAAACGAAAACCUGUUUCUGUCGUGUCCGCCGGUUUUCGCUUGCUUGUGUGGUAGGAGAGCCGCUAACUGUGUGAUGGCUGCGGCAGCUCGAUCAAUUGCUGGGUUCACGGAGUCUGUCAAGUAUGGUGUUUCGCUAUCGCCAGUUCCAAGCGGCCACUCCCUUGCCUCAGCUCGUUAUGGGUACCGGAUUUGCUCGCUGUCGACGAAUGGAUGCCGAGGAGACCCAAAAAUCCCAAUCAGAACUGUUGAGACCAGGACGUUUCCGGUGGUUGGAACACUAGCGAUGGCUAUGGAAAGUCUCAAGUUCAAACUGAUUGUUUGUAUGCUUGAUCAGUACUGUUGUUUGUGAUACUAUUUUUAUUGUUUUCCAGAUUUUGUUACCAAGACUAUGGAGAUUAUGGUGGGUAUGGUACUCCUGGAGUCACUAUCUGCCCUCAUCAGGGUACUUUUCUUGCAGAGAGCAUGAAAUGCUGUAGAUGUAUCAGUUGCAGCACCUUUUAAAGGAGCCAAGGGGCAGAAAGGCCUCAUAGAGCGUCAACUGGGACUUUUGGGUGCAAAGCCAAAGCCAGAUUAAUGCAGAGGUGAUUAAGGGACUUGACGAAGGGACUUUGAGCAUGAAAAUUGGUGGAAAACGUCGACUCUACAUGUACUGUUGGAAUGCCAUGAUCUCUGGACUUGCACUUCAUGGUUAUGGCCAAGCUGCUCUAAGACUAUUCGAUGGUUUGGUUGAGGAGGACUACCAGAUAUUUGAGUCCACGGAGGACUUUGGGGUCCUUCCCAAGAUGGAACAUUAUGCGUGUAUGGUUGAUCUUCUGGGUCGUGUUGGUCUCCUUGACCUUGCAUACAGUUUCAUGAAAGCCAUGUCGUUUGAACCUGGUGCUGUGUUAGGUGCUUUGCUUAGCUCUUGUCUGGUUCAUGGGGAUGCUGAGUUAGCAGAAACUGUAUCAAAGCAUAUCAUCGACAAGGCCGGUUGUCUGAGCGAUGGAGAAUACAUGAUGCUGUCUAACAUGUUUGCAUUGCAUGGUAGAUGGAAAGAAGCAGAUAACUGGAGAAGAAUGAUGAAAGAAGCAGGGAUUAGUAAAGUUGCUGGUUGUAGUACUAUAGAGAUCAAUGGUAGAAUGUACAAAUUUCUGGCCGGAGACGGAGAAUGUGGUUAAAGCUAGCUUGACGACAUCAAGACCUCAAGAAUACUUGAUUAGAAAAGCUGGGUUGUAUGAGUUCGCUUGAUAGUUGAUACUUGAUAUCAGCAUAUUAGCAUCAAUCAUAAACAUGUUGCAGGAAAUAAUACGCCGGCUGAUUCAAGGAGUGAAACCUAAUCAAAGGAAGUUGGGAAAGGAUGAUCAACGCGAACAAUGUCCUCUGUUACCAGCUCUACCAGCCUCCUACCUCUCAAGUCUCAACAAGAAUGCUUUGCUGAUCAAAGAUCUUGAUGUUCAUUCUGUAACUUGUUCACAGUUCUAUUUUCUUUAUCAACAUCUCCGUUUGCAAAUUGUCCAAUUGCUCUUCAUUUAAUUGUUCCCAGCUUCCAACCACGAUAGAAUUGGCAUUUGCUAAAAACAAUGAAAGUAAAAUAUAGACAGCGAGAAGUAUGGCAAAAACUCUGAUCAAAUAAAUGAAAGGCAAUGGAUACCCAGCACCUUCUGUAUAUAUUUCACAUAAAAUACAUAAGAUGCGUAUCAUUUCAAGGAACAGCUGACCUGACAGAUUCGAUUCAGGGACCCAUAAAUUACAAAAGAAAAAAAAAGAAAAAAAAACAA